CACGUACUGUGCAAACGUUAUUCGGAAUCACUGGGCUUAAAGGGUGCGUAGGCGGCUGAUUAAGUAGGGUGUGAAAUCCCUCGGCUCAACCGAGGAAUGGCGCUCUAAACUGGUCAGCUUGAGUGAGAUAGGGGUGUGUGGAACUUCCGGUGGAGCGGUGAAAUGUGUUGAUAUCGGAAGGAACGCCGGUAGCGAAAGCGGCACACUGGGUCUCAACUGACGCUGAGGCACGAAAGCCAGGGUAGCGAACGGG
rnacentral:rRNA from 1 species